AUGUAUACAAACUGGCCUUGGAUGAAAGCUUGUUUUACAAUGCUUUCUGGAACGUGGUUGAAUUAGACGUUUCAUUUUUGUCAGAAACGUUCAAGAAUUGUGAAGUUCUGUUUUAGAAACUUCAAUAUUUGAAGAUUACUUUUACAAAGUUGCGUGAUAAAAAUUACUUUACUGUCUAAAUUUAGCACACAAGUAGUAAAAAUUGUUUCUCAAUAAGAUACUAAUUUUACGAAAAUCAGCAGUUAAGUUAUACUCUAUUUACUAGGAGUAUUUGGCUUCAUCCCGUUACCUUCCUCUUCUGGCAUGAAAUUUCUACACUUGGAAAAUGGUUCAAAAAUAAAAGCUCCUUGACAUAAAU
rnacentral:lncRNA from 1 species